rnacentral:rRNA from 1 species
CCUACGGGCGGCAGCAGUGAGGAAUAUUGGUCAAUGGACGAGAGUCUGAACCAGCCAAGUAGCGUGAAGGAUGACUGCCCUAUGGGUUGUAAACUUCUUUUAUAUGGGAAUAAAAUGUUCCACGUGUGGGAUUUUGUAUGUACCAUAUGAAUAAGGAUCGGCUAACUCCGUGCCAGCAGCCGCGGUAAUACGGAGGAUCCGAGCGUUAUCCGGAUUUACUGGGUUUAAAGGGAGCGUAGGUGGAUUGUUAAGUCAGUUGUGAAAGUUUGCGGCUCAACCGUAAAAUUGCAGUUGAAACUGGGAGUCGUGAGUACAGUAGAGGUGGGCGGAAUUCGUGGUGUAGCGGUGAAAUGCGUAGAUAUCACGAAGAACUCCGAUUGCGAAGGCAGUUCACUGGACUGCAACUGACACUGAGGCUCGAAAGUGUGGGUAGCAAACAGGAUUAGAUACCCGAGUAGUC